ACACAGGUCUCUUUCACGCCAUAGAUGAUGGAUGAUGGCUGCAUGAGGUCAACUGUGUACAUCUGCACAUGCACGUUUGCUCACCCACACACAAACAUGCAUAGCAUGUGUGGCAGGGCGUGGCCUGCCCUCCGAACAGGUGCCAUAUGGAGGUAGUGCCUUAAUUGGUGGGUGGGGAGAAAAAGGUUUAUAUAAGGCACUGCCUCCAGCUGACUGUAGUUGAUUUCCCCCUUCGACGAAGGUGUAGCGUGGUUGCAGCUUAUCUGGGCUGUUUGACCAACUGAACCUGUCCCAGAAUGAGCAUGCUGUCUGGCAGCGCCAAGAAGGUUGGUGCUUCCUCCCGCCAUCCUUCCGUCCAGAGCGCUUUGCCGUAAGGGCGUGCGCGCUAGUUGGCACUGGGCAGGUGCUGCGGGCCACGGCGGGGACCCAACCCCUGGUGGAGGGCGUUUUCAUCACACCUCUCGUGUGUAGUUUUGUUUGUAGUAGCACGGGUGUGUUUAGUUUGUUUAUCUCCCCUAAUUGA
rnacentral:lncRNA from 1 species